UCUGAAUCUGCGUACGGCUCCGCACACCAGUUGUAAACUAUUGCAAGCACACCUUGCUGUUCUUCGGAACGGCUCGGUACACGGAUAACCCUGGUAAUUCUGAGGCUAAUACGAGAACGUACAGCUCUUUCGACUAGAAAUAGAAGGAAGAGAGGUGUGUGAUCAAGCACGAAGAAGAGCUAGGAGAAGUUACACGCCUCGACUGCGCCAAAGACAAUCGGGAUUCCUCGCGUUUCUCGUUUGAGCAGCUCUUGCAUUGUGCUUCUGACCUAUCAACUAAACGACAGUGUAAUGUACGUGCAGUGGUACAAC
rnacentral:rRNA from 1 species